UGGAAAAGUCGGAAGUACUUGUAUUUGACAUCAAAAUUGUAAGGUUGACUGCAUGAUGCAUAUUGAUAUAAUGUCUGUUUGAAUUUGCCUUUUGGCAUGGUAUAAUAUUGUCAAAUGUUGCCUCUACACGGAUUACCUGACUUAACAUGAACACGUGUAUCCCAUAUGCAAAUCCAAACACAUAUAUCUAUUUAUUUGUGACAUGAAAUUAUUAUAGACAAGGUGAUCAAGCCUUUAAUUGUCUCUGUCUUGUUUUACGCCACAGUAUAUUAUUUGAAUUAGUAAACCAGUAGAAAUCAGCAUACUGUCUCUUUUAGUGGUGCGUGGUUUCUUUUGUGCUUCACUAUUUUGAUAAACUUGUCAAUUCUAGGGACAACCUAAGAAGACGGAAGAACAAGGUGCUCCUCAGCCAAAUCGUUUCAGUGCUGUAAUAGAAAAGAUUGAACGCCUUUACAUGGGUAAGGAUAGUAGUGAUGAGGAGGAUCUACUUGAUGUUCCUGAUGAUCAGUAUGAUACAGAAGACUCUUUCAUUGAUGAUGCUGAAUUGGAUGAGUAUUUUGAGGUUGAUAACUCUGCAAUCAAGCAUGAUGGGUUCUUUGUAAAUAGGGGGAAAUUGGAACGCAUGGCCAAGUCUGUGUAGAUC